rnacentral:rRNA from 1 species
GACGAACGCUGGCGGCGUGCCUAAUACAUGCAAGUCGAACGCUUCUUUCCUCCCGAGUGCUUGCACUCAAUUGGAAAGAGGAGUGGCGGACGGGUGAGUAACACGUGGGUAACCUACCCAUCAGAGGGGGAUAACACUUGGAAACAGGUGCUAAUACCGCAUAACAGUUUAUGCCGCAUGGCAUAAGAGUGAAAGGCGCUUUCGGGUGUCGCUGAUGGAUGGACCCGCGGUGCAUUAGCUAGUUGGUGAGGUAACGGCUCACCAAGGCCACGAUGCAUAGCCGACCUGAGAGGGUGAUCGGCCACACUGGGACUGAGACACGGCCCAGACUCCUACGGUAGGCAGCAGUGGGGAAUCUUCGGCAAUGGACGAAAGUCUGACCGAGCAACGCCGCGUGAGUUAAGAAGGUUUUCGGAUCGUAAAACUCUGUUGUUAGAGAAGAACAAGGACGUUAGUAACUGAACGUCCCCUGACGGUAUCUAACCAGAAAGCCACGGCUAACUACGUG